rnacentral:rRNA from 1 species
CCGCGAUCCCAGGUCAGGCGGGAA